rnacentral:rRNA from 1 species
CCUACGGGAGGCUGCAGUGAGGAAUAUUGGUCAAUGGACGAGAGUCUGAACCAGCCAAGUAGCGUGAAGGAUGACUGCCCUAUGGGUUGUAAACUUCUUUUAUAUGGGAAUAAAACGUUCCACGUGUGGGAUUUUGUAUGUACCAUAUGAAUAAGGAUCGGCUAACUCCGUGCCAGCAGCCGCGGUAAUACGGAGGAUCCGAGCGUUAUCCGGAUUUAUUGGGUUUAAAGGGAGCGUAGGCGGAUUGUUAAGUCAGUUGUGAAAGUUUGCGGCUCAACCGUAAAAUUGCAGUUGAAACUGGCAGUCUUGAGUACAGUAGAGGUGGGCGGAAUGCGUGGUGUAGCGGUGAAAUGCUUAGAUAUCACGAAGAACUCCGAUUGCGAAGGCAGUUCACUGGACUGCAACUGACACUGAGGCUCGAAAGUGUGGGUAUCAAACAGGAUUAGAUACCCCUGUAGUC